UGCGGGUUGAGCGAGGUCGAGGUGCUUUGGUGCGCUCCCGCACUGACCAAUCUUAGGUCGAGGUCGAGUGAUAAAUAUGGAGAGAUUUGAGAGGAUAAUGCGUGGGACGCAGGGCACACUUAUCGUUGCUUCGACCCUCCAAAUUUUUGUUGGAUUCAGUGGACUUUGGCGCAAUGUAGUGAGGUUCUUAAGCCCUCUCUCUCUGCAGUUCCCCUGGUUGCUUUGUCAGGCUUUGGACUUUAUGAGUUGGGCUUUAUAGUGCUUGCAAAAUGUGUGGAG
rnacentral:sRNA from 1 species